GUUAAAGGGUGAGGUUUAGGAUUUAGGGUUUAGGGUUUAGGGUUUAGGGUUUAGAGUUUAGGGUUUAGAUUUUAGGGUUUAGGGUUUAGAUUUUAGGGUUUAGGGUUUUGAGUUUAGGGUUUAGGGUUUAUGGUUUAGGGUUUAGGGUUUAGAGUUUAGGGUUUAGGGUUUAGAGUUGAGAAAUGAGGUUUUGCGGAUAAGAUUUCAAAUUUUGAAAAAUAAAAAAAUUAAAAUUUUCAAUGGAUAAACUUAAAAAGAUGCUAUUUUGGUCAUUUUAGUUUUUAAGUGCUAUUUUUGUGAUAUAAACUUAGAAAAGUGAUAUUUUGGAGAUUUGCCCUU
rnacentral:lncRNA from 1 species